rnacentral:rRNA from 1 species
GUCGUAACAAGGUCUCCGUAGGUGAACCUGCGGAGGGAUCAUUACACAAAUAUGAAGGCGGGCUGGAACCUCUCGGGGUUACAGCCUUGCUGAAUUAUUCACCCUUGUCUUUUGCGUACUUCUUGUUUCCUUGGUGGGUUCGCCCACCACUAGGACAAACAUAAACCUUUUGUAAUUGCAAUCAGCGUCAGUAACAAAUUAAUAAUUACAACUUUCAACAACGGAUCUCCUGGUUCUGGCAUCGAUGAAGAACGCAGCGAAAUGCGAUAAGUAGUGUGAAUUGCAGAAUUCAGUGAAUCAUCGAAUCUUCGAACGCACAUUGCGCCCUUUGGUAUUCCAAAGGGCAUGCCUGUUCGAGCGUCAUUUGUACCCUCAAGCUUUGCUUGGUGUUGGGCGUCUUGUCUCUAGCUUUGCUGGAGACUCGCCUUAAAGUAAUUGGCAGCCGGCCUACUGGUUUCGGAGCGCAGCACAAGUCGCACUCUCUAUCAGCAAAGGUCUAGCAUCCAUUAAGCCUUUUUUUCAACUUUUGACCUCGGAUCAGGUAGGGAUACCCGCUGAACUUAAGCAUAUCA